rnacentral:rRNA from 1 species
CGUGUAGGCGGCCAGGUAGGUCUGCUGUGAAAACUCGAGGCUCAACCUCGAGAUGUCGGCAGAAACCAUCUGGCUAGAGUCCGGAAGAGGAGAGUGGAAUUCCUGGUGUAGCGGUGAAAUGCGCAGAUAUCAGGAAGAACACCCGUGGCGAAGGCGGCUCUCUGGGACGGUACUGACGCUGAGAGCGAAAGCGUGGGGAGCGAACGA